AACUAACGCUGGCGGCGUGCCUAACACAUGCAAGUCGUACGAGAAAGCCGGCUUCGGCUGGUGAGUAAAGUGGCGCACGGGUGAGUAACGCGUGGAUAAUCUGCCCUUAAAGUGUGGAAUAACGUACCGAAAGGUGCGCUAAUACCGCAUAAUGCCUGGCAACACAAAGUUGUCCGGCCAAAGAAGGCCUCUGUUUACAAGCUUUCGCUUCAGGAUGAGUCCGGUACCAUUAGCUUGUUGGUGGGGUAAUGGCCUACCAAGGCUGCGAUGGUUAGCUGGUCUGAGAGGAUGAUCAGCCACACUGGAACUGAGACACGGUCCAGACUCCUACGGGAGGCAGCAGUGAGGAAUAUUGCGCAAUGGGGGCAACCCUGACGCAGCAACGCCGCGUGAGUGAGGAAGGUUUUCGGACUGUAAAGCUCUGUCGAGCGGGAAGAAGUGUACCAUGGCUAAUAUCCAUGAUAUUUGACGGUACCG
rnacentral:rRNA from 1 species